CCUACGGGUGGCAGCAGUCGAGAAUCAUUCACAAUGGGGGAAACCCUGAUGGUGCGACGCCGCGUGGGGGAAUGAAGGUCUUCGGAUUGUAAACCCCUGUCAUGUGGGAGCAAAUUAAAAAGAUCGUACCACAAGAGGAAGAGACGGCGAACGCGUGGCCAGCAGCCGCGGUAAGACAGAGGUCUCAAGCGUUGUUCGGAAUCACUGGGCGUAAAGCGUGCGGAGGCUGUUUCGUAAGUCGUGUGUGAAAGGCGCGGGCCCCACGCGCGGAAGGCACAUGAUACUGCGAGACUAGGGUAAGGGAGCGGGCACCCGAAUGCUCGGUGUAGCAGUGAAAGGCGUAGAUAUCGAGAGGAAAACUCGUGGCGAAGGCGGGUUCCUGGACCGUACCUGACGCUGCGGCACGAAGGCCAGGGGAGCGAAAGGGAUUAGAUACCCCAGUAGUC
rnacentral:rRNA from 1 species